UACCUUGAAUUUCGUUGAAUUUUGAACUUAAUUAACUGUUGCAAAUAACCCUUGAGAUUUUUUUAAGAAGAAGAAGAGUAGAAAACAUUAAAAAAAACGUAGUAUAAAAGUGAGAGGAAACCUCUCUAUUUAUAGCUAACAAAUAGUAGUAUCGAUAGUUGCUAAUUGUGCCUUAUCAGAAAAGUUACAACCUUUCGAAAAAGUCAUUGCUCAUCAGAAAAGUCACAACCCUUUGGAAAAGUCAUGACUUAUCGGAAAAGGCACAACCCUUUAGAAAAG
rnacentral:lncRNA from 1 species